UGAACGCUGGCGGCGUGCUUAACACAUGCAAGUCGAACGAGAAAGGGAGUGCUUGCAUUCCUGAGUAGAGUGGCGCACGGGUGAGUAACGCGUGGAUAAUCUACCUUUGAAUUUGGGAUAACAUUGCGAAAGCGGUGCUAAUACCGGAUGAAGUUAUAGAUUUUUCGGAAUUAAUAAUGAAAGAUAGCCUCUGCUUGCAAGCUAUUGUUUGAAGAUGAGUCCGCGUACCAUUAGCUAGUUGGUGGGGUAAGAGCUCACCAAGGCGACGAUGGUUAGCUGGUCUGAGAGGAUGAUCAGCCAAAUGGAACUGGAACACGGUCCAGACUCCUACGGGAGGCAGCAGUGAGGAAUUUUGCGCAAUGGGCGAAAGCCUGACGCAGCAACGCCGCGUGAGUGAUGAAGGCUCUUGGGUCGUAAAACUCUGUCAAUGGGAAAGAAAGUAUUAUGUAUUAAUAGUGCGUAGUAUUGACGGUACCCAUGAAGGAAGCACCGGCUAACUCC
rnacentral:rRNA from 1 species